CUUUUUCGAUCAUCAUAGCGAUGAUUUCGGCACGAAGCUUUGCCCUGAGCAGGCGUUAACUUAGCUUUUCAAAUAACCCCACAGUGCAAAGCGAUCCAGUUUCCAACACUGGUCUACACAAGUCAGUCGGUUCACAAUUGUCAAAGUUAUUCAAUGUUUCAAUGUUACAUGCCAACACAAGAGACGGUGCACCCUGUAGAUACUUUUAACUCGAUUGAUCACCCAUCGUUAUCAAUCACUGCUUUACUAAUACGUUUUAUUUCGACAUAUCAAAAUGCCUUAAAAAAAGAUGAUGCCAUCAAUUAAUUGGAGUUACAUACAGGACACAGAUAAGAGAUUUACUUAAAAAUUAUACACGAAAAUUCACCGUCAAACAGGAUUUUCAAAGAUUAAAAAAAGAAGUGUCAUGUAUACGUUAUUAGAAUUCAACGCUUCGCUCUUUUACAACGCCUUCUCAAGCAUUCUGUGACACCUGUGAUCAUCCCUUAUUUUCAUAAAUUUAAUAUUUCAAAUACAGUGUUCCACACCCUCCCCACUGCUUCAAUUUUUCGAACUUUUUGAUUGGUUCCUACUUAAUUUAUUGCUCCAAUUUGUAACUUUUUGUUAUUAUUAUUCAUUACUCGCAUUCUACGACAUUCAUUUCACAGUUCCCCUUUCUUUCCUCCCCAAGCUCGGAUUCUUCGGAAUCCCCCUGGAAGUGACCGCCUCUGCCGCCUCUGUCAGCAUGUGCAUCUACCAGUACUUGUGCGAGAAACUCUCAGAGGAGGAGGUGUUCCAAACAAAUGCAAUUACAUACGAAGGCUAAACGCGAGGCAAAUUGAGCAACUUAGAGAGAGAGCGAGAGAGAGAGAGAGAGAACGAGAGAGAGAGAGAGAGAGAGUGACAGAGAGAAGCUGCUCGAACAGCAGCUGCAUCCCAGGCAGAGCCCAAAUGAAUAGAGAAUCGGUUGUGGAGCCAAAACCACAGGCACCCAACCAGUAAGCCACCAGCCCAAUUCUGCCUUAGCCCCUUACCGAGCCGCAUUUGGGCCUUAAAGUGAGCGGAGCUCAUUGGAAACACGCGAGUCUAAAUGGAAACGGAAAUGGUUGUGGAUGUGGAUGUGGAAGUGCACGUGGAGAGAACAGCAGCAGCGCCAUCUGUGAGUUGAGCUAUGUGUGUGACUGUUUCUUUCUCUUUCUACUUCUCCUUCUCUGUCCUUGUGGCUGUGCAUCUAUCUCUGUGCCCGUUCACAGGGUAGCAAAUUGAUUUUGACCAAGAUUCAUUUUCAGAUCUGUCCACGUUCUCUCUCUCUCUCUCUCUCAUUGUUGUUGCAGCUUUUCAUUUGGCAUUUUCCAUUUUCCAUGGUGCGACUGCUGCUGCUGCUGCUGUUGCUAUUGCUGGAGCCUCUGGCAGUUAGUGAAAAUUGUCCGCUCGCUUCGCUGAUUGUUUAUAGAAACGUACGGCAGCCGUACAAUGUCAGUCAUCAGAGGCAGCCACAGUCACAUAUAACAAGCAAGAGCAGCACUCGAUUAUGGUGUUGCGUCAGGGAGAUACCUGGUACUCAGACUGGGAUAUAAACUCAAAUGAACAUUAUAGGUUCUAGGUUAGGCUAUGGUGGUAGCGGGGGAGAGGGGACGAGCCUUCCCCAGCUCAAUUGGACCUGUUAAAGGUCCCUUGAGAUAAGAUCUAUCCGCACGAUACUCGCACUGCAAACCGGAGAAAAAGAGACGGCAUUAAUGUCGCAAGCAUUUGCAAAGAUUUACCCGAUCGUGUGGACAAUAGAUAUACCUUGAUGACAUCCUAUUAAACUACAUCUUAUCUUAAA
rnacentral:sRNA from 1 species